UACGGGGGGGGCAAGCGUUGUUCGGAAUUACUGGGCGUAAAGGGCGCGUAGGCGGUCAGUGCAAGUCAGUUGUGAAAUCUCCGGGCUUAACUCGGAAAGGUCAACUGAUACUGCUCGACUAGAGUGCGGAAGGGGCAACUGGAAUUCUUGGUGUAGCGGUGAAAUGCGUAGAUAUCAAGAGGAACACCUGCGGCGAAGGCGGGUUGCUGGGCCGACACUGACGCUGAUGCGCGAAAGCUAGGGGAGCGAACGGG
rnacentral:rRNA from 1 species